GAUGAACGCUAGCGGCAGGCUUAAUACAUGCAAGUCGAGGGGUAGCAAGAUUGUAGCAAUACAAUUGUUGACGACCGGCAAACGGGUGAGGAACACGUACACAACAUUCCUACAAGUGGGGAAUAGCACAGAGAAAUUUGGAUUAAUACCCCGUAACAUAGCGAUGUGGCAUCAAAUUGCUAUUAUAGCUUCGGCGCUUGUUGAUGGGUGUGCGGCUGAUUAGAUAGUUGGCGGGGUAACGGCCCACCAAGUCUACGAGAAGUAGAUGAUGUGAUAGCAUGAUCAGCCACACGGGCACUGUGACACGGACCCGACUCCUACGGGAGGCAGCAGUAAGGAAUAUUUGACAAUGGACGCAAGUCUUGUCCAGCCAUGCCGCGUGAAGGAUUAAGGUCCUCUGGAUUGUAAACUUCUUUUAUAAGGGACGAAAAAAGGUCUUUCUAGAUCGUCUGACGGUACCUUAUGAAUAAGCACCGGCUAACUCCGUGCCAGCCGCCGCGGUAACAC
rnacentral:rRNA from 1 species